GUUUCUCUAAUUUGAAGCUCCGGCACCACAGAAGGGCUGCAGAAGCUGGUACCCUUUACUCACCAUAGCUCCGAGACCACUUUACAGAUUUUUAGGUUAGAAGCAGCUUAUAGGUCAAGGGUUUAUCCAACAAGGGAGGGUGGAAGAAUCCUGGAAUUCAUAUACAGUAGUAAACAGUUCAAAACAAAGGGUGGAUUAACAGCGGGAACAACAACCACCCGUUAUUAUGGUAGUGAAGAAUUCAAAAUCAAACAACAAAAGACUAAGUGAUUCACUUGCAGUCCACAUGAAGUGAUUUCCGGCAGGGACUAUAAACAAUCUACUUACUGACAUCUCUUGCU